rnacentral:rRNA from 1 species
UACGUAGGGUGCGAGCGUUGUCCGGAAUUACUGGGCGUAAAGAGCUCGUAGGUGGUUUGUCGCGUUGUCCGUGAAAACUCACAGCUCAACUGUGGGCGUGCGGGCGAUACGGGCAGACUGGAGUACUGCAGGGGAGACUGGAAUUCCUGGUGUAGCGGUGGAAUGCGCAGAUAUCAGGAGGAACACCGGUGGCGAAGGCGGGUCUCUGGGCCGGUACCGACGCUGGAGGAGCGAAAGCGUGGGGAGCGAACAGG